GUUGUGGAUCUAGUUCGAGAUGUGUACAAAAGGUGCAGAAAUGAAUGCAAAAUGGGACAUCUAUGAAAGACCUUUCCCCCUCGAUUGAACGGCUUCAGGGGCAUCUUCCCGACACUCUCUGUAAUUUGGCACACCUUGUGGUUCUCCAUCUCGGUGGGUGCACAAAUCUUUCUCUAUCUCCGUUUAUGUCCGAGAAACUAAUCUCUGUGUGUUACUAUGUCAGAGAAAAUGGGCAUACUGACAUUUUGACACGUGUACUACACUCCAAAAAUGAAUAAUCUUCAGGGGUUUUGGGUACACUCUGGCUGUGCCGAUAAACACAUGGAUAUGAAGCUCUGUUUUGAAGAAAUCAAUCGGUCACUACGCCGCAUGCGGCGGCUUUGAUGGAACUAAUGUGGUGCGGUCAGACGGCUAGCCACCGCUGGAUUCUUUGAAAUCCCAUCUCGAAAAGUUGGUAUUUUCCAAGGAGAGAAACUGUGAAGAUAUUGCUUUGUCUUUUCCCGUUGUCCUAAUGCCACUGGUGCUCCUCCAAUUUGGGUGGAAGGGAAGAUGUAUGGGAUUGGAUCGUCUGCAAUUAGCAGUCUAAAAGGGCACAACAAGAGGAGGAAUAAAUAAGAGCCUCAACGAUUUCAUCUCCCUCUUCGAAAGAAUGUCUCUUGUACCAACUAAUGCUAAAGCUAAAGACGCUAGAAUUGAAUGGUUCUGGUAGUUUCAGAAACUGUGAAGAUAGUGUUAUGUCAUUUCUCGUAGCUAGUGCCACCGGUGCUCCUCCAAUUUGGGUGAAAGGGAAGAUGUAUGAGAUUGGAGCAUCGGGAAUUAGCAGUCUAAAAGGCCACAACAAGAGGAGGAAUAAAUAGGAGCCUCAAUGAUUUCAUCUCCCUCUUCGGAAGAAUGUCCCUUGUACCAACUAAUGCUAAAGCUGUAGACACUGGAAUUGAAUGCUUCUGGUAGUUUCAGGUGGUGGCGGUGAGUGGUUCUGCAUAUUAGACAGCUCGGGAAGAAACGUGUUGAAGUACAUGUAACUGAGAAGCCAGAAAUUGGAAUUCGGUUGGUGGAUGCGGGGAUGCUUAUCCCUCAUGCGAAUAGCGACAUGCAUACUUUUAACAUAAAAUUGAGAGAAAAAGCCGGGAAUUGGAAUUGGCUUUUGGUACUGAGACAAAAAGCCGAGAGGUGCUCCGCAGAAAUGGUGGUAAUGUUCCUUCAGCUGCAAACAAACGCAAAGUGUCGUGCCAAAGCUCGUGGUUAAUAUAUGAAAUAUAAUGUUGAUAUAACAUCGAUAUUUGGUGACAUUACGUUAAUAUAAAGUUGUGUAUAUA